UACGUAGGGGGCGAGCGUUAUCCGGAUUUAUUGGGUUUAAAGGGUGCGCAGGCGGCGUGUCAAGUCAGCGGUAAAAUGUCGGGGCUCAACCCCGGCCGGCCGUUGAAACUGGCGUGCUCGAGUUGGAGAGAAGUAUGCGGAAUUCGUGGUGUAGCGGUGAAAUGCAUAGAUAUCACGAAGAACCCCGAUUGCGAAGGCAGCAUACCGGCUCCACACCGACGCUGAGGCACGAAAGCGUGGGUAUCGAACAGG
rnacentral:rRNA from 1 species